CGAACGGGUAAGUAACGCGUGAGGAACCUGCCUCAAAGAGGGGGACAACAGUUGGAAACGACUGCUAAUACCGCAUAAGCCCACGGCUCGGCAUCGAGCAGAGGGAAAAGGAGCAAUCCGCUUUGAGAUGGCCUCGCGUCCGAUUAGCUAGUUGGUGAGGUAACGGCCCACCAAGGCGACGAUCGGUAGCCGGACUGGGAGGUUGAACGGCCACAUUGGGACUGAGACACGGCCCAG
rnacentral:rRNA from 1 species